rnacentral:lncRNA from 1 species
AGGGGAACUGUUGGAGUGUUUGCAUUUUGGGUUCCUGGCAUAGCAGCUGGUAGGCUUGAUGGGAUUUCAAAAUGAAGUUACUAAUGGAAAUUAUACACUGAGGACAUUCCAAAGAAACUGCUAAGAGAGAAUGGCUUGUGCUAGGUCCAAGAGGGAAAGGACCUUGUCUCAUUCACUGGGAUGUUCUCAGUAUGGAAAAGAAUGCAAGCAAGUGGUGGGGAUUCUGCAGAUAUUUGUUGAAUAAAUAAAUGAAUUUCUGUUUUGUAUUUGUCACUUCCGCUUUGUGAACCAAGUUAAGAGUGAGAUUGAGGGCCGGGCGCAGUGGCUCAAGCCUGUAAUCCCAGCACUUUGGGAGGC